rnacentral:rRNA from 1 species
GACAGAGGUCUCAAGCGUUGUUCGGAUUCAUUGGGCGUAAAGGGUGCGUAGGCGGCGCGGUAAGUCGGAUGUGAAAUCUCGGAGCUUAACUUCGAAACUGCAUUCGAUACUGCCGUGCUUGAGGACUGGAGAGGAGACUGGAAUUUACGGUGUAGCGGUGAAAUGCGUAGAUAUCGUAAGGAAGACCAGUGGCGAAGGCGGGUCUCUGGACAGUUCCUGACGCUGAGGCACGAAGGUCAGGGGAGCAAACGGG